UACGGAGGAUCCGAGCGUUAUCCGGAUCUAUUGGGUUUAAAGGGUGCGUAGGCGGCCUUGUAAGUCAGGGGUGAAAGACGGUAGCUCAACUAUCGCAGUGCCUUUGAUACUGCAGGGCUUGAAUGUACUUGAGGUAGGCGGAAUGUGACAAGUAGCGGUGAAAUGCAUAGAUAUGUCACAGAACACCAAUUGCGAAGGCAGCUUACUAAAGUAUGAUUGACGCUGAGGCACGAAAGCGUGGGGAUCAAACAGG
rnacentral:rRNA from 1 species